rnacentral:misc_RNA from 1 species
UCCGGUUUGUCACCGGCAGUCUCCCUAGAGUUCCCACCAUUACGUGCUGGCAACUAGGGACAAGGGUUGCGCUCGUUGCGGGACUUAACCCAACAUCUCACGACACGAGCUGACGACAGCCAUGCAGCACCUGUGUUCCGAUUCCCUUUCGGGCACACCCACCUUUCAGCGGGCUUCCGGACAUGUCAAGGGUAGGUAAGGUUGUUCGCGUUGCAUCGAAUUAAUCCACAUCAUCCACCGCUUGUGCGGGCCCCCGUCAAUUCCUUUGAGUUUCAGCCUUGCGGCCGUACUCCCCAGGCGGGGCACUUACUGCGUUAGCGACGGCACCGAGAGGGUCGCUCCCCCCGACGCCUAGUGCCCAUCGUUUACGGCAUGGACUAC